GGCCAUUGUCUGGGUGCUUAAUUUGACU
rnacentral:piRNA from 1 species